GGGAAUUUGGUCCAGUAGUAUGAUUCACGCUUUGGAUGCGAAAGGUCCCGAGUUCGAAUCUCGGAAUGCCCC
rnacentral:tRNA from 1 species